rnacentral:rRNA from 1 species
CCUACGGGAGGCACCAGUGGGGAAUAUUGCACAAUGGGCGCAAGCCUGAUGCAGCCAUGCCGCGUGUAUGAAGAAGGCCUUCGGGUUGUAAAGUACUUUCAGCGGGGAGGAAGGUGUUGUGGUUAAUAACCACAGCAAUUGACGCUACCCGCAGAAGAAGCACCGGCUAACUCCGUGCCAGCAGCCGCGGUAAUACGGAGGGUGCAAGCGUUAAUCGGAAUUACUGGGCGUAAAGCGCACGCAGGCGGUUUGUUAAGUCAGAUGUGAAAUCCCCGGGCUCAACCUGGGAACUGCAUCUGAUACUGGCAAGCUUGAGUCUCGUAGAGGGGGGUAGAAUUCCAGGUGUAGCGGUGAAAUGCGUAGAGAUCUGGAGGAAUACCGGUGGCGAAGGCGGCCCCCUGGACAAAGACUGACGCUCAGGUGCGAAAGCGUGGGGAGCAAACAGGAUUAGAUACCCGGGUAGUC